AUGGCUGUCGUCAGCUCGUGUCGUGAGAUGUUGGGUUAAGUCCCGCAACGAGCGCAACCCUUGUCGUUAGUURCUACCAUUAAGUUGAGCACUCUAGCGAGACUGCCUGGGUUAACCAGGAGGAAGGUGGGGAUGACGUCAAAUCAUCAUGCCCCUUAUGUGUAGGGCUACACACGUGCUACAAUGGCUGGUACAGAGAGAUGCAAUACCGUGAGGUGGAGCCAAACUUAAAAACCAGUCUCAGUUCGGAUUGUAGGCUGAAACUCGCCUACAUGAAGCUGGAGUUGACUAGUAAUCGCGAAUCAGAAUGUCGCGGUGAA
rnacentral:rRNA from 1 species